GUACGAGAGGACCGGGAUGGACGAACCUCUGGUGCAUCGGUUGUCCUGCCAAGGGCAUGGCCGAGUAGCCAAGUUUGGAAGGGAUAAACGCUGAAGGCAUCUAAGCGUGAAGCCCCCCUCAAGAUAAGAUAUCCCAUACGAAAGUAGUAAGACCCCUUGAAGACGACGAGGUUGAUAGGUCGGGAGUGGAAGUGCGGCAACGCACGCAGCGGACCGAUACUAAUAGGUCGAGGGCUUAACCUU
rnacentral:rRNA from 1 species